rnacentral:rRNA from 1 species
CCCUUAGAUGUUCGGGGCCGCACGCGCGCUACACUGAAUGAAUCAGCGAGUGUAUGUCCUAGGCCGAAAGGUCCGGGUAACCCGUUGAACCUCAUUCGUGAUUGGGAUAGGGACUUGCAAUUGUUUCCCUUGAACGAGGAAUUCCCAGUAAGCGCAAGUCAUCAGCUUGCGUUGAUUACGUCCCUGCCCUUUGUACACACCGCCCGUCGCUACUACUGAUUGGGUGUUCAAGUGAGAUGCUUAGACCCUUGUUGCAUGGUUCAUUAUUGUGCUCCGAAAGGAAAAAGUUUCAAGCUUGAGUGUCUAGAGGAAGUAAAAGUCGUAACA